CCUACGGGUGGCAGCAGUGGGGAAUAUUGGUCAAUGGACGAGAGUCUGAACCAGCCAAGUAGCGUGAAGGAUGACUGCCCUAUGGGUUUAAAACUUCUUUUAUAGGGGAAUAAGAUGUUUCUCGUAUGGGGUUGUGUAUUUACCAUAUGAGUAAGGAUAGGCUAACUCCGUGCCAGCAGCCGCGGUACUACGGAGGAUACGAGCGUUGUCCGGAUUUAUUGGGUUUAAAGGGCGCGUAGGUGGAUUGUUAAGUCAGAUGUGAAAGUUUGAGGCUCAACCGUGAAAUUGCAUUUGAUACUGGCAGUCUGGAGUACAGUAGAGGUAGGCGGAAUUCGUGGUGUAGCGGUGAAAUGCUUAGAUAUCACGAAGAACACCGAUUGCGAAGGCAGCUCACUGGGCUACAACUGACACUGAGGCUCGAAAGUGUGGGUAGCAAACAGGAUUAGAUACCCGGGUAGUC
rnacentral:rRNA from 1 species